AUCCAACCAUUUAUACCGUCGGAAAUAUCACGGAAGACAUACUUGCAUUGCAAUAUUUUCUGGGGACUUCCAUAUUUGCUGUUAUAACAGCUUCUUCGUUGAGUAUCUGGCUCGAUAAACCAAAGAUUUGUUUGAUAUCCUUAAUCCGAAACACAAACUCCUUAACUUUGUUAGGCAGGAACCUUUUUUUGGCUUUAAAGGCUGACUUCUCCCUAAUCAUUGUGACGAGCAAAAAUUACUUACUGGGCUAUAAAGUCCUUGCUCAUAGCAGCUGGUUGGAUGAUACACAGUUUACUUUAAAAGCACCCUUCUCGUUUUCAC